AACGAACGCUGGCGGCAGGCUUAACACAUGCAAGUCGAACGCCCUAGCAAUAGGGAGUGGCGCACGGGUGAGUAACGCGUGGGAAUAUACCGAGAAGUGGGGAAUAACUUUGGGAAACUAAAGCUAAUACCGCAUACGCCCGAGAGGGGAAAGAUUUAUCGCUUUUCGAUUAGCCCGCGUGAGAUUAGGUAGUUGGUGGGGUAAUGGCCUACCAAGCCUACGAUCUCUAGCUGGUCUGAGAGGAUGAUCAGCCACACUGGAACUGAGACACGGUCCAGACUCCUACGGGAGGCAGCAGUGGGGAAUAUUGGACAAUGGGGGAAACCCUGAUCCAGCCAUGCCGCGUGAAUGAUGAAGGCCUUAGGGUUGUAAAGUUCUUUCGCCGAUGAAGAUAAUGACGGUAGUCGGAGAAGAAGCCCCGGCUAACUUCGUGCCAGCAGCCGCGAUAA
rnacentral:rRNA from 1 species